UACGUAGGGGCCUAGCGUUGUCCGGAAUUAUUGGGCGUAAAGAGCUCGUAGGCGGUGUGUCACGUCGGCCGUGAAAACCCGCGGCUCAACUGCGGGCCUGCAGCCGAUACGGGCAGGCUAGAGUUCGGUAGGGGAGACUGGAAUUCCUGGUGUAGCGGUGAAAUGCGCAGAUAUCAGGAGGAACACCGAUGGCGAAGGCAGGUCUCUGGGCCACUACUGACGCUGAGAAGCGAAAGCAUGGGGAGCGAACAGG
rnacentral:rRNA from 1 species